rnacentral:rRNA from 1 species
GGGUUGUGAGGUUAAGCGACUAAGCGUACACGGUGGAUGCCCUGGCAGUCAGAGGCGAUGAAGGGCGUGCUAAUCUGCGAUAAGCGCCGGUAAGGUGAUAUGAACCGUUAUAACCGGCGAUACCCGAAUGGGGAAACCCAGUGUGAUUCGUCACACUAUCAUUAACUGAAUCCAUAGGUUAAUGAGGCGAACCGGGGGAACUGAAACAUCUAAGUACCCCGAGGAAAAGAAAUCAACCGAGAUUCCCCCAGUAGCGGCGAGCGAACGGGGAGGAGCCCAGAGCCUGAAUCAGCAUGUGUGUUAGUGGAAGCGUCUGGAAAGGCGCGCGAUACAGGGUGACAGCCCCGUACACAAAAGCGCAUGUGCUGUGAGCUCGAUGAGUAGGGCGGGACACGUGGUAUCCUGUCUGAAUAUGGGGGGACCAUCCUCCAAGGCUAAAUACUCCUGACUGACCGAUAGUGAACCAGUACCGUGAGGGAAAGGCGAAAAGAACCCCGGCGAGGGGAGUGAAAAAGAACCUGAAACCGUGUACGUACAAGCAGUGGGAGCACCCUUUGGGGUGUGACUGCGUACCUUUUGUAUAAUGGGUCAGCGACUUAUAUUCUGUAGCAAGGUUAACCGUAUAGGGGAGCCGCAGGGAAACCGAGUCUUAACCGGGCGUUAAGUUGCAGGGUAUAGACCCGAAACCCGGUGAUCUAGCCAUGGGCAGGUUGAAGGUUGGGUAACACUAACUGGAGGACCGAACCGACUAAUGUUGAAAAAUUAGCGGAUGACCUGUGGCUGGGGGUGAAAGGCCAAUCAAACCGGGAGAUAGCUGGUUCUCCCCGAAAGCUAUUUAGGUAGCGCCUCGUGAAUUCAUCUCCGGGGGUAGAGCACUGUUUCGGCUAGGGGGCCAUCCCGGCUUACCAACCCGAUGCAAACUGCGAAUACCGGAGAAUGUUAUCACGGGAGACACACGGCGGGUGCUAACGUCCGUCGUGAAGAGGGAAACAACCCAGACCGCCAGCUAAGGUCCCAAAGUCAUGGUUAAGUGGGAAACGAUGUGGGAAGGCCCAGACAGCCAGGAUGUUGGCUUAGAAGCAGCCAUCAUUUAAAGAAAGCGUAAUAGCUCACUGGUCGAGUCGGCCUGCGCGGAAGAUGUAACGGGGCUAAACCAUGCACCGAAGCUGCGGCAGCGACGCUGAUGCGUUGUUGGGUAGGGGAGCGUUCUGUAAGCCUGCGAAGGUGGCCUGUGAGGGUUGCUGGAGGUAUCAGAAGUGCGAAUGCUGACAUAAGUAACGAUAAAGCGGGUGAAAAGCCCGCUCGCCGGAAGACCAAGGGUUCCUGUCCAACGUUAAUCGGGGCAGGGUGAGUCGACCCCUAAGGCGAGGCCGAAAGGCGUAGUCGAUGGGAAACGGGUUAAUAUUCCCGUACUUGGUGUUACUGCGAAGGGGGGACGGAGAAGGCUAUGUUGGCCGGGCGACGGUUGUCCCGGUUUAAGCGUGUAGGUGUGUGUUCCAGGUAAAUCCGGUUCACUUUAACACUGAGGCGUGAUGACGAGGCACUACGGUGCUGAAGCAACAAAUGCCCUGCUUCCAGGAAAAGCCUCUAAGCAUCAGGUAACAUCAAAUCGUACCCCAAACCGACACAGGUGGUCAGGUAGAGAAUACCAAGGCGCUUGAGAGAACUCGGGUGAAGGAACUAGGCAAAAUGGUGCCGUAACUUCGGGAGAAGGCACGCUGACACGUAGGUGAAGUGAUUUACUCAUGGAGCUGAAGUCAGUCGAAGAUACCAGCUGGCUGCAACUGUUUAUUAAAAACACAGCACUGUGCAAACACGAAAGUGGACGUAUACGGUGUGACGCCUGCCCGGUGCCGGAAGGUUAAUUGAUGGGGUCAGCGCAAGCGAAGCUCCUGAUCGAAGCCCCGGUAAACGGCGGCCGUAACUAUAACGGUCCUAAGGUAGCGAAAUUCCUUGUCGGGUAAGUUCCGACCUGCACGAAUGGCGUAAUGAUGGCCAGGCUGUCUCCACCCGAGACUCAGUGAAAUUGAACUCGCUGUGAAGAUGCAGUGUACCCGCGGCAAGACGGAAAGACCCCGUGAACCUUUACUAUAGCUUGACACUGAACAUUGAGCCUUGAUGUGUAGGAUAGGUGGGAGGCUUUGAAGUGUGGACGCCAGUCUGCAUGGAGCCGACCUUGAAAUACCACCCUUUAAUGUUUGAUGUUCUAACGUGGACCCGUAAUCCGGGUUGCGGACAGUGUCUGGUGGGUAGUUUGACUGGGGCGGUCUCCUCCUAAAGAGUAACGGAGGAGCACGAAGGUUGGCUAAUCCUGGUCGGACAUCAGGAGGUUAGUGCAAUGGCAUAAGCCAGCUUGACUGCGAGCGUGACGGCGCGAGCAGGUGCGAAAGCAGGUCAUAGUGAUCCGGUGGUUCUGAAUGGAAGGGCCAUCGCUCAACGGAUAAAAGGUACUCCGGGGAUAACAGGCUGAUACCGCCCAAGAGUUCAUAUCGACGGCGGUGUUUGGCACCUCGAUGUCGGCUCAUCACAUCCUGGGGCUGAAGUAGGUCCCAAGGGUAUGGCUGUUCGCCAUUUAAAGUGGUACGCGAGCUGGGUUUAGAACGUCGUGAGACAGUUCGGUCCCUAUCUGCCGUGGGCGCUGGAGAACUGAGGGGGGCUGCUCCUAGUACGAGAGGACCGGAGUGGACGCAUCACUGGUGUUCGGGUUGUCAUGCCAAUGGCACUGCCCGGUAGCUAAAUGCGGAAGAGAUAAGUGCUGAAAGCAUCUAAGCACGAAACUUGCCCCGAGAUGAGUUCUCCCUGAGACUUAGAGUCUCCUGAAGGAACGUUGAAGACGACGACGUUGAUAGGCCGGGUGUGUAAGCGCAGCGAUGCGUUGAGCUAACCGGUACUAAUGAACCGUGAGGCUUAACCUUACAACGCCGAAG